rnacentral:rRNA from 1 species
GAUGAACGCUGGCGGUAUGCUUAACACAUGCAAGUCGAACGGACUCUUCGGAGUUAGUGGCGGACGGGUGAGUAACGCGUGAGAAUCUGGCUUUGGGUUCGGGACAACCACUGGAAACGGUGGCUAAUACCGGAUGUGCCGAGAGGUAAAAGAGAAAUUGCCUGAAGAUGAGCUCGCGUCUGAUUAGCUAGUUGGUGAGGUAAAGGCUAACCAAGGCAGCGAUCAGUAGCUGGUCUGAGAGGAUGACCAGCCACACUGGGACUGAGACACGGCCCAGACUCCUACGGGAGGCAGCAGUGGGGAAUUUUCCGCAAUGGGCGAAAGCCUGACGGAGCAGUACCGCGUGAGGGAAGAAGGCUCUUGGGUUGUAAACCUCUUUUCUUAGGGAAGAACAAAAUGACGGUACCUAAGGAAUCAGCAUCGGCUAACUCCGUG